rnacentral:lncRNA from 1 species
GGCAAAACAGCUUUUGGGCAGAUGCACAGCCCCUUGGCACCACCGUGCUCCUGGACGGAGCUCCCACGCCUCUGACUGCGCUGCGCAGCGGCACUUACUCAUGCUGCAGCAGGUCUUUGAAGUGAAUCAUCUCCACAAUGACCUGGACGUUCUCCUUGGCAGCGGAGCAGAGGUCAUGCUUCAGGUAGCACUCCCGCUGUAACUGGAACACCAUCUCUUUAAUGGCUGGGCACUUACGGCUGAUGCAGCUGAAUUUAUGCCUCAAGGCAUGAGCCUUACACUUCAGAGCGUCUUUAAUGAAGGAUUUUCCCUGGGCAUCAAAUUUUCCAGCGUUGUGCAGGAAAGUCAUGCAGAUCUCGUGUAAGCCUCGGAUCUCACAAGAGUUGUUCUCAAAGCACUCAAACACUCCACAUCCCACAUCGCCGGCAUUAACCAGGCAGUGCUGGAUCUCAGCUGUGUUCUGCAGGGACAGCCGCCCCUUCUGCUGCGGGGUGCGCUCGGGCUGUCCCUCGGGCGGCCGCGUGGCCUCAGUGCCCGCCGCCGCCGCCGCCCGGGCGAGGAGCAGCAGCAGGGCCAGGGCCGGCAGCUCGCCGCGGAGCCCCGCGCACAUGGUCGCGCUUUGCCCUCCUCCUCCUCCUCGCCGUCUCCUCGUCCUCCUCCUCCCCCGCGGGCUGCCGCUGCUGCCGCCGCACCCGGGCCCAGCGCGCUGCUCGCCGCGGCCCCGCGUACCGCAUGUGCCCGGCGCUGCUCGGCGCGGAGUGUCGGCGGCGGCGCCGGAGGGUGCCUCAAAUAUCCCCGCCGAGCCCCGGUGGCACUCGCAUGAGGGAGCCGAGCAGGUGUCGCUCCGCGUCGCGGCCAAUGGCAGCCGCCGCCCGCUCCGACCGCCCGCCGGGGGCCGGCCCUGCCCUGGCGGCAGGUUGCAGCCUCCCGCCUCCCCUGGUCCCCC